AGUGAUCAUUGGCGGCGGGCUUAACACAUGCAAGUCGAGCGAGGCUACGAGCCGAGCGGCGAACGGGUGAGUAAUACUUGGGAAUCUGCCCUGGAGUGGGGGAUAACAGCCAGAAAUGGCUGCUAACACCGCAUAAUCCAUAUUGGGAAAACGUUUAGUGCUCUAGGAUGAGCCCAAGUCUGAUUAGCUAGUUGGUGGGGUAAAGGCCUACCAAGGCGACGAUCAGUAGCUGGUUUGAGAGGAUGACCAGCCACACUGGAACUGAGACACGGUCCAGACUCCUACGGGAGGCAGCAGUGGGGAAUCUUGGACAAUGGGGGCAACCCUGAUCCAGCCAUGCCGCGUGUGCGAUGAAGGCCCUCGGGUUGUAAAGCACUUUUGGCGGGGAGGAGGCUCUUUUGGUUAAUACCCAAGAUGAGUGGACGUUACUCGCAGAAUAAGCACCGGCUAACUCUGUGCCAGCCGCCGCGGUAA
rnacentral:rRNA from 1 species